rnacentral:rRNA from 1 species
AUUGAACGCUGGCGGCAUGCUUUACACAUGCAAGUCGAACGGUAACAGGCCGCAAGGUGCUGACGAGUGGCGAACGGGUGAGUAAUGCAUCGGAACGUGCCCAGUCGUGGGGGAUAACGCAGCGAAAGCUGCGCUAAUACCGCAUACGAUCUAUGGAUGAAAGCGGGGGACCGUAAGGCCUCGCGCGAUUGGAACGGCCGAUGUCAGAUUAGGUAGUUGGUGGGGUAAAGGCUCACCAAGCCAACGAUCUGUAGCUGGUCUGAGAGGACGACCAGCCACACUGGGACUGAGACACGGCCCAGACUCCUACGGGAGGCAGCAGUGGGGAAUUUUGGACAAUGGGCGCAAGCCUGAUCCAGCAAUGCCGCGUGCAGGAAGAAGGCCUUCGGGUUGUAAACUGCUUUUGUACGGAACGAAAAGGCUCUGGAUAAUACCUGGGGCUCAUGACGGUACCGUAAGAAUAAGCACCGGCUAACUACGUGCCAGCAGCCGCAGUAAUAC